rnacentral:lncRNA from 1 species
AAUAUUUUUUUAGAGUUUCGAUGACAUAAUAUGUUAUUAUUAUUGGUUAGAAAAUCGGUUAUCAAAGGAGAAAUAUAUCAAUACAAUAUAAAUCGCUUUUCUCCGUGUUGAAUACGUUUUCCGUUUCCGUAAUAUCCUACUACCCAGUCACCGCAGCAAAUAUAAAAUAUUAUAAUGCACCCCCAACAUAGAAUUGUAACAGUAUACGAACUCUAGUUAUAAUUAGUAGUUUUAAAAUUGCGUGGAAAAAUACAUUUUUUUUUUUUAAAAUACUAUAUUUAUCAUUUGCGAAUUUAUGAUUAUUCUCCGUAAAAGAUUUUUUUUGAAAAAAUUUCUGUCGCCUGCUUUGUUAUAUUUUGUACGCUAUUUGAAGAAGAAAAAAAAAAAGUUUUGCUAUAAACAUUUUCUAACGUGCAAAGUACCUACCUAUACAUGGUCACUUUUUCAUCACGUGUUUUAUUUUUUUUUAAUAUUGAAAUAACGAAAUACAAUAAUAUUACAGUUUUAUUGCUAAAUAUUUUAGAAUUCCGAUUGGAUAAGAGGACAUGAUACUUGUGCCAAUGUACACGUGCUGACUGCUGUGUCUCCGUCUCAUACUAAUAACGUGCGGCGUAAUAAUAUUAUAGACACAUCUACGCUCAACGGGACCGAUUUUGUACGAUAUCGGUUUUAAUACCAGACGAGUGAAUUAUAUUCAGUCUAUAAUCAGACUUAAAGGUUAUCGAAUUGUAUUGCGGUAUAGCGGCGUUUUUUUUUUUUUCACAAUAUUUUUAUGCACGUGAAAAGUAACAUAUAUGUGCGAAGACGUAUCGCGUCCAAAAAUUACAAAAUUGAACAAAUAUCGCGCGUGAACGACGUACAAGAAUGAUGUUAUGAUAUUACGUUAUUUCACAUAAUAUUAUAAAAUAUAUUUUCCGUUAUAGGCCAUUUCAAUCUAAUAUUAAAACUGGACGGCGCGAAAUCGGUCCUGUUCGCAACGUCGCGCGUUUGUACGUUUAGACGGAGGCGGCGCGCGCGGGCGUCACGUCCUCGUGAGCAAAGGAACUGUUUGGGUACCAGGCACCCAUGUGGGGUUUUAUAAUAACGGAGUGCGGCUAUUAUAUAAUUAUUUUUAAUAGAUCGUUACACAUUUUUUUUUUUUUUAGACGGGAAUAAGAGGGGGAGAGGCUUUAGUGCAUCGGGGCGUUGGCGUCAUUCGGCACCGUUAUUGUAUCUUUGGUCCCAGAAAAUCAGGGCUCGCGUCGAUUUCCCAUCGUUUUCCAUACGGGCAAACUGAACUUUGAAAAUUUGCCACACAAAUGAACGUGAUUUUUUUUGCCGGACAAACGGCUCAUCGUAGUGACUCGAGAUGAGAUAUUUGGAUUUUCAGUAGAACACGAGUUUACGAGUACCUUUACGCACACGUAUGCCCGUUUUAGACCGAACAAAUGAAACAAAUAACGUAUUACGAGAAAACUACAUGUAGAAGAAAAAAAAAAAAUAAUAAUAAUAAUAAAAUAAUAAAUCGACAAGCUUUUUUUUUGCCCGGGCUCAAAGACUUACAGAUAAAACAUUAAACACGCAAAUUCACCAAUUAUUAUCUGUGUACAAUAUAUAUAUGUAUAUACGUGAUUGUUUUUUCGACACCCGGAUAGCCGCGGAAUCGACAAAGUAUCGGUACAACUGUUUCGACGAUAUUGAUCAUGUAUCGUUUUAUAACGAAUCCGACUGCAGUUGCGAUCGCGGUGCUGUUCAAUUCUACACGAUAAAUGAUAAUAUGCACAUUACGCGUUACAGUAUGGACUCGCGUCAGCGAAAUCGGCGAAACGACGGGCGUACAACAACGUAAUAACAUAGUGUCCGAUACGAAAAACAAAAAAACAACAAAACAACACUUCUGAUUUUUUAACGUUUACGCGGUUUUUAUAUUCAAUUAAUAAUAAUAUGCAGUGUAUCAAAAAUGUUGUUUACCCGUUCGAAUUUCGAUGCGAGAUUCGUCGAUGAUAAAUCGAUUUGUCGGUUCCGUUCGACUAUUUUUAUUAUUACGCAGUGCAGCGAUUUCGCGCGGGUUUCCGUGAAAAAAAAAAAAAAAAAACAAAAAAAAGUACAUACGUUUUAACGUUAUUAUAAUAUAUCGAUCGCAUAUUCUGCUAUAGCGUUUUGCGCGUAAUCUAUGCAUAUUAGUUAAAUGACGUUUGGAUAACAUGAUUUUCGCUCCGGGGGGGAUCGAAACAGCGAUUUUUGUAGAAAAUUAGUCAAUUAAUGACAGGCGAAAAAUUACGCAGGUUUUAGAGUUUGAUACGUUAUGCGCGCAUCUUUCGGACGGAGUUUUUUUUUGGAAAUCUAUCAAAAGUCUUUGUAAUAACAAACUAGUACAUCUACUCGAGAGAUACGUAAAAAAAAAAAAAAAAAUUGUUAUUUUUCGAAUUAAUUGUGAGUAUUCGAGUGACAAAUUGAUAAAUAUCGCGAAAUCAAAACGCAUCCGAACAAAUGACGUGAUGUACAUAUAUUACCAGCUACACGCGUUUGCUUUUGCUCGAAUAAACUACAUGCAAAUUAAUUAUGUAUACGCCGUUUCGAUUUUUAGAAGUGUGUAAUAUUAAUAAUAUUAUAAAAACAGAAACAGUUUACCCGUUCGUAUAUAAUAAUAUAAUAAUUUGAUAUUGAUUUUCGCGAGAUUUUGCGAUGUACGCU